rnacentral:rRNA from 1 species
UACGUAGGGGGCGAGCGUUGUCCGAAGUUACUGGGCGUAAAGCGCGCGUAGGCGGUUAUUUAAGUUCGGGGUGAAAGGUUCAACGCUCAACGUGAACAGUGCCUUGAAUACUGGGUGACUUGAGUUCGGGAGAGGGCAGUGGAAUUCCUGGUGUAGCGGUGAAAUGCGUAGAUAUCAGGAGGAACACCGAUGGCGAAGGC